rnacentral:snRNA from 1 species
AUAAAAUUAUUUUAAAAAACACAUCUGUUUUUAUCAGUUUAAUAUCUGAUACGUCCCCUACCCGGGCACCAUAUAAUAAAUAGAUUUUUGGAAGAGGGAUAUGGAAUAGGGGCUUGCUCCGUCCACUCCACGCAUCAUGGAGUGGACUUCCUGGGAUGGUGCACCCCCU